rnacentral:rRNA from 1 species
GACGAACGCUGGCGGCGCGCUUAACACAUGCAAGUCGAGCGAAGCGGCGGACGGGUGAGUAACACGUGAGUAACCUGCCUUAGACAUUGGGAUAGCCUCGGGAAACCGGGAUUAAUACCAAAUGGUCUAAGAUGGACUCGCGUCCCAUUGGAUAGUUGGUGAGGUAACGGCCCACCAAGGGGACGAUGGGUAGCCGGCCUGAGAGGGUGAACGGCCACAUUGGAACUGAGCAACGGUCCAAACUCUACGGGAGGCAGCAGUGGGGAAUAUUGCACAAUGGCGGGAACUCUGAUGCACCGCCGCCUGUUGAACGAAGAAGGCUUUCGAGUCGUAAAGUUCUUUUAUAUGUGAAGCGUUACCAUAAGAAAAAGCCCCGGCUAACUACGUGCCAGCAGCCGCGGUAAUAC